rnacentral:sRNA from 1 species
GCAGCAAAAGGAAGGCAGAGUCAGAAAGGAGGAAACAGGAUGUGAGGCAGAGGAUGAGAGACAUUGUAAGAAGGCGUGGUGGUUCCCUGAUAGGAAGACUAUGCUUAAAGAACCAUCUCUUACCAAGUCUGAGCUCACGUCUUCACUGUAUUAAAGACCCAUGUGCUGAUGACUAAGUCAAAUUCUUAUUUUGUUACUGAGCCAAACAUAAUUUUUUAAGUUUAAUUUGGAUAUUUUCCCCCUUCUUCUGUCAUGUCUGUGGUUUAAUAGGUACUGUAGAAGUCAUUCUGGAGAUCAGUUUCAGGAGUUGGGGGAGGAGCACGUUCUCUUCUCUAUUCACUUUACAUCGCAGUAUCAGCCCCCCUUCUCCUCCCAGUCCCUACCUCACAUGCCUCUCUCCCUAAGCCCCCUUCCUUUCUCCAAGAAGGGGGAGGCCCUCACCCCAUGGGUAUCACCCCGCCCUGGCUCAUCAAAUCACUGCAGGAUUAGGUGUAUUCUCUCCCACUAAGGCCAGACAAGGCAGCUCAGUUAGGGAAAUUUGUUGUACCUCACUUAGGAACCGGAAGUUCUGUUAUUGAGAACCAACACUGUAUUCGAUAGACUUCUUAAGUACAAAACAGCUUGAAUAUAAAGUAACAGUCUCAUGUGAUGGGAAUACACCACGCCUAAAAGUUUGUCUCUAUUGUGUUCUCCCACUCCCAUUUUGAUUUUUUUUAAUUUCAAUAAUGAAUUGCACUCUGUAAAAUAGAGCAAUUUAAUACAGUCUUUGACAUUUUUUUUUGCUAACAAAACCAUAUCCAUCAUGAGCUGGCUGCUUUUCACAUAGCAUCUGUAUUCCAUGCUAUAAUCCUACCUUACACGUUAUGUUUAUUUUUGAGCUAGGAAAGUAAAGAGUUAGGAAAGUUCUCUAAAAAUUUAGACGAAUAAUCAGAACUUGGAUCCAAACCUGAUUCAAAACUCUGAGACUAUUAUUUUUCCCCCUGCUUAGACAAAAUCAGACAUGCAGGAUAUUGGCAAACUAUGGCUAAAAUAUCUAGGUUGGAGCUUCCGCUGGAGAGGAGGAAGAGAAGGCCUUUCAGAAGGCUCACUAUUGCACAGUCUCAGAUUGGUUUCUCCUGCACGAAAAUCACUGAAAUUGGCAGGACGGAAAUAGAUGCUACUGGGAUCUUACUUUUGUGCCUCUGUGUAGUGCAUCCAUUAAUUACACAGAUGAGACGCAUUCGCCUCUUCCAGCAUGUAAUAACUCACCAUACAAUAGGGGAGUAAGAUCAAGUCGUACAUUAAGCACAUUGCAGAGUGAUUUAGUGAGGGCAGUUUUCAAUUGUGAAGAGCUCAUGUAAGUCAUUUUUUAGACCUUGAUGCUGAUUCAAAACCCACAGUCUAAUGUGCCAGGAAGAUCAAAUGUCCUCGGUGAACUGAAUGAAUAGGCAAACCUGACAUAGGCAAUGCUUGUGUUCAAACCUGGAAAGGCAGCGGAUCCUUUCUUUUCAGAAUUGUUCAGGAAAUGGUCUGAUUUAAAUUUCAAAUAUGUAUAUGAUUCCUAGCUUCUGAAAUGGUUUUCAGUCCUGUUAUAUGUAUUCCGGUUUUUAAAUAUAGCUUCAACAUGACGCCAAGGCUGAGUUCCAUUUUAAUUGCUCCUUGUUGAUUUUGAAAUCUGAUAGGCUUGAUUAUUGCCUCUAAUAACCCUGGGGGCAGUGGUCAAUUGCUGCCUUGUCCCGAAGAGUGACUGGGAUGCUUCCAAAAUGGAGAGGCCUGUAUUGUCUGUUCUGCACUCCCUAGCGCUGGAAGAAUGGGUGGCUUGUGGUUGAAAUUCCCAUUUGUUGCCACUCAUAGUUGAUCAUAAAACAUUCAUCCUACAGGGGAGUGCUCGCUAAUAAAUAUUAAUGCUUUGCUGAGAGGCUGAGCAGAAAGACUUUCUCCUCUUCUGAAAGUGCCUCCGCAUUGCGCACUAGGCAAAGGAAAACGCUCCAGUUACUGUGCUGAUUUUCAGUGGCAGGUCCUGAGGACUCAGUGCCGUGGGGGUGGGGAAGACACAGCAGCUCUGUGAGAGUAAAGGGAGACUGGAGUAUUGGGGAUUAAAUGAUGUGUGACAGUGGACCCUAGUCACUUGUGCUGGCUUCCUAUCUACCUGCCUCUGUCCUUCCUUCCCUUCUUCCCCACCACUCAUAUUCAUUCCUGACUCUACUUCAAGACUAUUAGUAAAAGUAACAUUUUUUAAGUGGGGGGAAAAGGAAGGAAAAACAUUGUGAAGUCAACUGAGCAUUUCAUCAGAAUAUGGAAGGCAAUUCCAUUGUCCACUUUUUUUCCAUUACCGAAUCCUAAGCCCAGUGGCUCGUCAGUCUCCGGACAUGUGGCAACCCUCUCUUGUGAACAUAGAUCGGCAGUGCUUAGAGGAUGCUGGACACCUGCAUCAGCCAUGGCAAAACUGUCAAAUUUGGAUUUCUCCAUUAUCUGAAUCCCUUUUCUUUUGAUCUUAGGUGUAGCAAGUUAUAGGUUGCCAUAUUUUGGCAGAGAGGUUUUCUGAUGAACAAUAGAGGGUAGAAAUCUGAAAAACGGGAAAAAUUCCCCAGUAUUUCUGUCCUCUUUAGGGGAAGCUUUACAGAGUCCUGGAACAUCCCCAACAGCAUAAAUCAAGGACGGAAUUGCAGUUCUGUCUAUGGCUGUUGGAACCCGAGUCUCUUAAUUUGUAAAAUGGACAUGAUAAAACGACUGACCUCAGGGGGACUGGCUCAGAUUGCAUGGGCAAAGAACCAGGCAUGAUGCCCAGCUCCUAGCAAGCAUUGUAGAAUAUUAAUUCCUUAGCCAGCUCUGCUCUGUCUUACCAACUAUAUGCUUCCAGUUGUAAAACAGCAAUCAGAGCAUAAUGUGGGACAGACCCCCUCGCCUUUGUUUUACCCAAGAGACUUAGAUCGAUGUGAAGCAAGGAGGGAAAUAUCAACCGUCUGCUGGCAAAAUGUGCAAAGCAUGGCGUGUCACCUCCCUCCAGGCCUCUAAGAAGAUGAUGGCUUGGAACUAUUUGUUGAUUAACUGAAACGUUGGAAACAACUUCCAUCCUUCCGAGAAACGUAUUUUGGUCUAACGUGCCUACCAAAAUCCACUUAAUAUUCCUUAUUACAAACUACACAAAAAUAUGCCUGCUGUCCUUUUCGAGUUACAGUCUGUGUAUAUAUUCAAAGAUUUCCCAAUCCUUCUUGUGUAUUUUCCAAAUCGAACAAACACUGCUUUUGUAAUAACGGGAAUACAAAUGAACGUCUCCUUCUGACAGGUGUUGGAGGCAGUACAGCACAGCCAGUUUUUUGCUGUUAAUAAUUUAUAGGGGGAGGAGGGAUGCCUGUCUUUGGAGGGGUGUGCUGUUGAGUGUGUGGUGAUGUUUUCAUGGUACACUGGGUGACUGUGCAUGCGUCUCAGUGAGGACUUUGGGAAACAGGUAAGUCACAAAGCCCCAUAGCCUCUACCAGAAAAGGUGUUUCACCCUCUCCUAAAAAGACAGGAAGGUGGAGGUCACAUACUCCUUCUUGGAAAACUCAUAUCAUUUCUUGUCUUUCAUUUUUGAGAUCAUAACCUGAACUGAAGAAUGUUGAAUAGUGUCCCAAAUGCCUUUUAAUCAGUUUUCAUGAUGAGCAAAUAAAUCAACUUAGAAGUGGACUUCAGCACCUUCCUAUUCUCUGGCCUUCACCGGUCAUGGUGUGUAGGAAGCUGGUGAUGGUGUUGGGAAGAGGAUUUCACAGCUCAGUGAAGCGAUCCCCGUGACCAGGAACGACAAAUAGCAACAAGCUAGAAGAAGGCACAGUAGCCUCAGACCAUGGAGCUGCCCAGCUGUCAUGUGACCAUCACCUCAAGAGACCUCAGCUUCCCAGUGGCAGGAAACCAUAGCAUCUAUGUGUUUGUGAAUAGAAAGGCACUCUGCUGACAUUGAUGAAAUGAACCUCAUGUUCAGGUCCUCUCCCACCCCAGUUCUAACACUGAAAUCCUAAUCUGCACGGUGAUGAUGUUCAAGAGGUGAGAUCUCUAGGAGCUAAUUAUGUCAUGAGGGCUGAACCCUCAAGUAUGGGGCCUGCUUGAAUUAAAAUACCAAUAAAAAGGAAACCCUAGAGAGGUCCUCAGUGUCUUUCAUCAGGUAAGGUCCCAGUGAAAAGGACCAUUGCAGCCACAGAACUUCAGAUGUGCUUAGAGAUGAAAUUGUCAUAAAAUAGGGAGUGGAGAGAGUUAUAAUUAAUUUUCUGUAUUUUCCUGUGAAGUCUAGAUUCCAUCAAUCCCGACUCAUCUUCAUCAUGGAACAUUUAUUAAGAUUGAGGAUCUGGACUGAGUUCUAAGAAUCCUGCCCCUGAGCCCCUGAUAUAUGCCGCUCAGGCUUUUUUCAGAUUUGAGAUUCUCCAACACCAGCCAUGGACCACUAUGUCUGGCCUUGUCUUUUAGUAAGAAUAGUUCUUUUAUCCUAAUGAAAGACUUGAAAAACAAGCACUAUAACAAAAGAGCCAAGUAGAUCUUUGCAUAUUGUGGCUUGUCAGUUAUGGAAGAAUAAAGCAGAAUGAUCAAAUUCAAUAAACCUUGAUGACAGAUUUAUUGACUAGCUAGACUAAAAUUAUGUUUUCAGUGUACUGUGUAACCUGCCACUUUAAUUUCCAUUGAAAAAGGAAAUUUUGACUGUAUAUCUUUUUAAAAAUGUAAUUAACUCAUGAUUUGCUUAUACACACUAGUGGGGCUCAGCAUAAAUUUCUGUAUGUGCAUAUAGCACAGAUCAAAUCCAACUCCUCCUUUUCAAACAUCCGUUCUUUCCUGAUCUUAGUGAUCAUUUUUAUGUCAACAUUUUAAAAGCUUGUGCAUAUAAGAGAGAUGGCGGUGUGCUUGUUUACCUGUGUCUUGCCUAUUUUACCUGAUGUCACUGAUUCUGUUUGACUGUUGACAGGAUCUCCUUCUUUAUGUCCAGGUAAUAUUUAAUUAUAUAUGUGCACACAUAUACAUAUAAAUAAUCUUUAUUCAACUAUUUGUUGCUGGGCAUCCGGACUAGUUCCUUGUGUGUUGUAACUAGUGCAGCAGACUUUGGUGUGCUGCUUUGCCUUUCUUUGGACAUAUCCAGAGAACUGGUAUAUCUAUAUUUAGUUUUUGAGGAACCUCUAUAAUGCCCUGCGUACCGGCUGGAAUAAUUUAUAUUAUCGUCCCCAGUAUAUGGGUUUCAUUUCUGCACAUCUUUGCCAGAACUUGUUAUUUAUUUUAUAAUACCCGUUUUCAUCAUAGUUGGGAUUUAUAUUUCUCCAAUGGGCAAUGCUUUUCAGUGUUUUAAUAUAUUAAACAACUAGUUUGUUUUCCCAUUUUAGAGUUACAUUUGCUUAAAUUGUUUUUUAGCUUCUUUUAGAAGUUUUUAGCUUAAUUUGUCAGAGAAGCAAUGGUAAGUGUCCUGUCCCGUUCUGUAUGAUGCCUCUUCAUCCUGACGCUUCUUGUGCUGUUCAGUCCUGAGUUUGCUUUCUUUCCAACUAAUAAUAGAGCUAAUAAUAAAGCUUUCCUUUUGUUUUCUGCCAUUACAGGUCCUCUGCAGAAAACCACUGCCCCUCCAGGGGCCUUCAAGCGCUCCCUCUUUUUCAAGUUCUAGUGGCUUCUGAUCUCACACUUAAGGCUUUGCUUACCUUCCCCUCCCCCUUCUAUUUCAAUGAUUUUUUUAAGUUGAAAAUUGGUUCUUUUCUCACAUAAUAUAUCUUGAUUACUGUUUCUCCUCCCGGUUUCUCCCCCAUCUCCCCUUUCCAUCUGGUUCUCUGUCAAGUACAGAGUGCGAGAUGAGGGUCCAGUUUGACUCCUUUGGGGAUGCACCCUUUUUGUUUGUUUGUUCGUUUUUGCCACUUGUCUCUUUCUUUGCCAAUGCCAUGCUGUCUAGGACACUGCUGCUCCACAGUAGUUCUUGAUAUCAGAUAUUGUGACAUUUCCAGCUUUUAUCUCCCCAGGAUUCUUUUGGCUAUCUGGGGUCCCGUGGUUCCAUAUGGACUCUAGGGUCAUUACUCCUAGUUCUCUAAAGACUGUCACUGACCUUUUGAUAGGGAGUAGAUGGGACAUUAAAAGAAUAUUAAUUCUUCCAAUCUACAAACACGAGAAGCCUGUAUAUUUUUAAUGACUUCUUACAUAUAUUUCAUCAGUGUUUUGUAAUUAUUAUUGAGUUUUUUCCAUGUUUCUUGACUGUGUAUUCCUCAGAAUUAGCCCUGGCAGCUGUUCAUUGAGUCAUCCAGCAUCUACCUAUCUCUUGGGUUCAGAGAGGAAGUGCCUGAUCAGGCCCCUUCUGUAUAACAAUACGAAUCCUUUAAUGAACGUCUAAUUUAGUCAAUCUGGGGUACUGUUGACACCUCGGUUGGGAGGAUUGGUCAUGAGUUUAUCUAGAUAGAAUUUGGAAACCAAGUAAUCAUUUAGGAAAACUUUCAUAAUACAAAUUGAACUUUGAAAGAUGGACUUAAAAGUAUCAUGCUAUAUAUAUUACAGACACUAGGAAAAGUCACAGGACAGAGCACUCCCCAGG